rnacentral:rRNA from 1 species
GGGGAAUAUUGGACAAUGGGCGAAAGCCUGAUCCAGCAAUGCCGCGUGAGUGAUGAAGGCCUUAGGGUUGUAAAGCUCUUUCGCCUGUGACGAUGAUGACGGUAGCAGGAGAAGAAGCCCCGGCUAAUUCCGUGCCAGCAGCCGCGGUAAUACGGAAGGGGCUAGCGUUGUUCGGAUUUACUGGGCGUAAAGCGCGUGUAGGCGGCGCGGCAAGUGGGGCGUGAAAGGCCUGGGCUCAACCUGGGAAUUGCGCUUCGGACUGCCGUGCUUGAGGCCGGGAGAGGGUGGUGGAAUUCCGAGUGUAGAGGUGAAAUUCGUAGAUAUUCGGAGGAACACCGGUGGCGAAGGCGGCCACCUGGCCCGGACCUGACGCUGAAGUGCGAAAGCGUGGGGAGCAAAC